CCUACGGGUGGCAGCAGUGAGGAAUAUUGGUCAAUGGGCGUAAGCCUGAACCAGCCAAGCCGCGUGAGGGAUGAAGGUUCUAUGGAUCGUAAACUUCUUUUAUAAGGGAAUAAAGGCUGGGACGUGUCCUGUUUUGUAUGUACCUUAUGAAUAAGGAUCGGCUAACUCCGUGCCAGCAGCCGCGGUAAUACGGAGGAUCCGAGCGUUAUCCGGAUUUAUUGGGUUUAAAGGGUGCGUAGGCGGUCUUUUAAGUCAGCGGUGAAAGUCUGUGGCUCAACUAUGGAAUUGCCGUUGAAACUGGGAGGCUAGAGUGUAUUUGAGGCAGGCGGAAUGCGUGGUGUAGCGGUGAAAUGCUUAGAGAUCACGCAGAACCCCGAUUGCGAAGGCAGCCUGCCAAGCCAUGACUGACGCUGAUGCACGAAAGCGUGGGGAGCAAACAGGAUUAGAUACCCUGGUAGUC
rnacentral:rRNA from 1 species